rnacentral:misc_RNA from 1 species
AACUUUCAACAACGGAUCUCUUGGUUCUGGCAUCGAUGAAGAACGCAGCGAAAUGCGAUAAGUAGUGUGAAUUGCAGAAUUCAGUGAAUCAUCGAAUCUUUGAACGCACAUUGCGCCCCUCGGUAUUCCGUGGGGCAUGCCUGUUCGAGCGUCAUUACAACCCUCGGACGGUCUUUUUGGUCCGUCUGGUUUUGGGUGUCGUCAAAAGACGUGCCUUAAAAGAAUUGGCGGCGUAGGUGCCGGCUUCGAGCGUAGCAGAUGCGAUUCGCUUUGGAAGCUGGCGGCUUACCUUGCCAGAUAUAUCUCCGAAUGGUUGACCUCGGAUCAGGUAGGGAUACCCGCUGAACUUAAGCAUAUCAAUAAGCGGAGGAAAAGAAACCAACAGGGAUUGCCUUAGUAACGGCGAGUGAAGCGGCAAUAGCUCAAAUUUGAAAUCUGGCUCUUUCAGGGUCCGAGUUGUAAUUUGUAGAGGAUGCUUCGGCUUCGGCACCGGUCUAAGUUCCUUGGAACAGGACGUCACAGAGGGUGAGAAUCCCGUAUGUGGUCGGUACCUCCGCCAUGUGAAGCUCCUUCGACGAGUCGAGUUGUUUGGGAAUGCAGCUCUAAAUGGGAGGUAAAUUUCUUCUAAAGCUAAAUAUUGGCCAGAGACCGAUAGCGCACAAGUAGAGUGAUCGAAAGAUGAAAAGCACUUUGGAAAGAGAGUCAAAAAGCACGUGAAAUUGUUGAAAGGGAA